rnacentral:rRNA from 1 species
AGUUGAUCCUGGCUCAGGAUGAACGCUAGCUACAGGCUUAACACAUGCAAGUCGCGGGGCAUCAUGGCAUGUAGCAAUACAUGCUGAUGGCGACCGGCGGAUGGGUGAGUAACGCGUAUCCAACCUGGCCCUAUCUCGGGUACAGCCCCUCGAAAGAGGGAUUAAUCCCCGAUGUUCCCUGGGAUCCGCAUGUUUUCCAGGGCAAAGGCAUUUGUCGGAUAGGGAUGGGGAUGCGUUCCAUUAGGCAGUCGGCGGGGUAACGGCCCACCGAGCCGACGAUGGAUAGGGGUUCUGAGAGGAAGGCCCCCCACACUGGGACUGAGACACGGCCCAGACUCCUACGGGAGGCAGCAGUGAGGAAUAUUGGUCAAUGGCGGUAACGCUGAACCAGCCAAGUAGCGUGAGGGAUUACGGCCCUAUGGGUUUUAAACCUCUUUUGUUAGGGAGCAACCGGUGGCACUAGUGCCAUUCUGCGAGUACCUUUCGAAUAAGCAUCGGCUAACUCCGUGCCAGCCGCUGC